AGACAUCUUCAUCACUCGCACAGGACACACUGCGUAUUCCAUAAGAACGUCUAUACACAGUGUCUAUCUGUGUGAUGAUCCGUGGUACAUCAAUGAGUGGUCUGUCCAGGGAAAAAUCCAUUGUGUAGCCAUGUUUUUCUGUAACUGACAGAGAACCAAACUGUUGAUAAAGCUGUUCUUUGUUGAUCUUCUGAGGGAUAAAACUUGGUAAGGACACUGGGAGUUUAGGAGGCAAUCUUCUGAAUUCAUCAUUUUUGGAUUUGUAGGAAGAGACAAGGCUGACUUCAUUGGAGUCAAGUAACUUAUUCAGAUCAGCAAUGCUCUGUGUGAUUUCAGAUAUGAUGUGUUUGAUUUCAUCUUCCUGUCGAUUUAGGACAGCCAGGUGUUUGGAGUCCAUUUCAUCAAGAUCAGAUUUCAGUUUCUGUAUUAUGGUGUCUAUUUCUCUGUGCCAGUCCUCUCCAUGUUUGUUGAUUGCUGUUGUCAAUUUCUUGGAGUUUUCAUUAAGAUCUACCUUUUGUUCUGAAAUGCUAGAUAAAAUCUCUUUAUAUUUAGGAUAAAUAAUUUUUUCAAAAUCUUGUAAAUCUUGCUGUAAGAAUUGUGUUUUGUUUUUUAAACUUUCCAAAAUGUCCAUUACAUCAUGAGUUUGGUGUUCCUUUGAAUAAAAACAGAGUUCACAAUG
rnacentral:sRNA from 1 species